CGAACGUUGGCGGCAUGCUUUAUACAUGCAAGUCGUACGAGAAAGCUCCUUCGGGAGUGAGUAGAGUGGCGCACGGGUGAGUAACGCGUAGGUGACCUACCUAUUUGUGGGGGAUAACUCCGGGAAACCGGGGCUAAUACCGCAUACGUAGUACAAUUUUAAAAGUAGUACUAGAAAGAUGACCUCUCCUUGGAAGUUAUUGCAGAUAGAUGGGCUUGCGUACCAUUAGCUUGUUGGUAAGGUAACGGCUUACCAAGGCUAUGAUGGUUAGCUGGUCUGAGAGGAUGAUCAGCCACACUGGAACUGAGACACGGUCCAGACUCCUACGGGAGGCAGCAGUAGGGAAUAUUGCGCAAUGGGCGAAAGCCUGACGCAGCAAUGCCGCGUGAGGGAGGACGGUCUUCGGAUUGUAAACCUCUGUCAGGAGGGAAAAAUAGCUUUAUCGCUAAUAUCGGUAAAGUAUGAUGGUACCUCCAGAGGAAGCACCGGCUAACUCC
rnacentral:rRNA from 1 species